rnacentral:rRNA from 1 species
UACAGAGGUCCCAAGCGUUGUUCGGAUUCACUGGGCGUAAAGGGUGCGUAGGCGGUCGGGUAAGUCUGAUGUGAAAUCUCACAGCUUAACUGUGAAACUGCAUUGGAUACUAUCCGGCUCGAGGAAUGGAGGGGAGACUGGAAUACUUGGUGUAGCAGUGAAAUGCGUAGAUAUCAAGUGGAACACCAGUGGCGAAGGCGAGUCUCUGGACAUUUCCUGACGCUGAGGCACGAAAAGCCAGGGGGAGCAAACGGG